GCGAAGUAGAUGGUUUCAGAGUGGAAAGAAAUGGCUCGGUGGAGGGUAAAGGUACCCGGACCGACAACGGACACAGGUGGGAGAGGAGAGUGUCUUAAGGCCAGGGGGAGAACGGUUGGUAAGGAACUCGGAAAAAUGACCCCGUAAAUUAGGGAUAAGGGGGGCCACCAUCAGGUGGCCGCAGAGAAUAGGCCCAAGCGACUGUUUACCAAAAACAUAGGUUUCUGCUAAGUCGAAAGACGAUGUAUAGGAGCUGACGCCUGCCCGGUGCUGGAAGGUUAAGGGGAGCUGUUAGAGCAAUCGAAGCAGUGAACUUAAGCCCCAGUAAACGGCGGCCGUAACUAUAACGGUCCUAAGGUAGCGAAAUUCCUUGUCGGGUAAGUUCCGACCCGCACGAAAGGCGUAACGAUUUGGGCACUGUCUCA
rnacentral:rRNA from 1 species